rnacentral:rRNA from 1 species
AAUGACCGCGGAUCAGGUGAGGAUACCCGCUGA